rnacentral:rRNA from 1 species
GUGGUUUAAUUCGAUGCAACGCGAAAAACCUUACCUACCCUUGACAUGUCAAGAAUUUUGCAGAGAUGUGAAAGUGCUCGAAAGAGAACUUGAACACGGGUGCUGCAUGGCCGUCGUCAGCUCGUGCCGUGAGAUGUUGGGUUAAGUCCCGCAACGAGCGCAACCCUUGUCAUUAGUUGCUACCGCAAGGAGCACUCUAAUGAGACUGCCGGUGACAAACCGGAGGAAGGUGGGGAUGACGUCAGGUCCUCAUGGCCCUUAUGGGUAGGGCUACACACGUCAUACAAUGGCCGGUACAGAGGGCUGCCAACCCGCGAGGGGGAGCCAAUCCCAGAAAACCGGUCGUAGUCCGGAUCGUAGUCUGCAACUCGACUGCGUGAAGUCGGAAUCGCUAGUAAUCGCGGAUCAGCUUGCCGCGGUGAAUACGUUCCCGGGUCUUGUACACACCGCCCGUCACACCAUGGGAGCGGGUUCUGCCAGAAGUAGUUAGCCUAACCGCAAGGAGGGCGAUUACCACGGCAGGGUUCGUGACUGGGGUGAAGUCGUAACAAGGUAACCGUA